rnacentral:tRNA from 5 species
GGCCUGGUGGCGAAGUGGCUAACGCAGCGGUCUGCAAAACCGCGAUCCGCGGGUUCGACUCCCGCUCAGGCCUCCA